UUGAAUGAUGAAACCUUGGGAUUCUCUAAGGUAUUCAUGAUUUGAAAGCCUCAUUGCAUGUGCUAAAUUUAUGAUAUUUGUGUUGUAGUUUAUCCUCAGUGAUACUAUGAUUGAUUUGUGUCAAAGUAAUAGCAACAUUG